GAGACAGAUUUCAAGACAUCUGAAACUACAGAAGGAAACCUCCUGGCCUCCUGUGAUGACAGAGCCAAAGAAUAUUGUUCUGGUCCUGCUUCAUUUAGGUUCCUGGCCACCAGCUGAAAUAACACAAUCCCAAACACAAUCCUACCACAGUGUCACAUGUUGAUUCAGCAUUUCUCCAGCCUGGUGAAGCUUUGCUACCGAAGAAGCGAGGGAAGCGACCGGAGUGCCUCAGCCAUGGGAAACAUGCUUGAAUGAAGAGGUUGAAAAUGCUCCAAGUGCCUGCUGAUUUCUCCCAUGGUAGUGGGUUGAUAAAGUGCCCUGUCACCGGCAGGAGGGCCAUUUUGGGUGAAGAGGAAUGCAAACUUUCUAGAUGCUGCUGCUGUUCAUGACUCAGCAUUUGCCUGCACAUUUGGAGCAAAGUUCCCACUUCAUCCUCAAAUGGUUCCCCAGAACUCAGCAUCUUUCACAGGAGAGCAUCACCAG
rnacentral:lncRNA from 1 species